UAGAUCGUUCAUUGCAAUUUGAUCUGGAUCAUAUGAUCGCAUUUAAAGAGAGAACGAAUCUGAGCCGUUCAUCACAUUUAAUUGUGACCGUCCGAUCGCACGUGAGGAGGAAACGGAUCCGGAUCGUCCAUGCACGCGAGAACAAAUUCGGACCGUCCAAUCGCGAGCACGUGGAUUACCAGUGUGGCCUCCUGCGUGACACUGUGUUAGCAUGCCUUGCCACGCAGCGCGUUCUACUUCAUCGGAGCUGCUGACUGAGCGGUCCUGCGUAGCACAUUUUUUUUAAAUUACGUUUUGACCUCCAAUUCUGAUUUUUCUUUUAAAAACACCUCAGAACCCAAAUUUUUAUCUAUUUUUCUCAAAAUU
rnacentral:lncRNA from 1 species